UGGUGGACUUGGGGGAAAUUCCAGCCAUGUUUAACAAAGGAACUGAGGACCAACUAAUUUCCUUCUAGUUCCUACCACAAUCAGUGGACGCAACAUAGAUCAUGUUUUGCUGGAUGAAAAGACAGGAAGUGUUUAUACGGGAAAAGGAAGUGUAAAAAGAACUGGAUCUGAUCAUAGGAUUUCUCAGCAUUCACAAAGGUGCCUGAACCAAAUGGGAGACUGCGUGUUCCUGAAGGUAGGGCAGGAACGUCUGUUUCCUCUGUCAGUAUUGAAUACACUGGAGAAAGGCAGGCUUGGAUUUGGUCCUGGAGGCUGAGCCAGCCAUAACAAACAAGGUUAAAGUUGAGGCAGAACUCACAUUUACAACCGUGUCAUAUGUCUACUGUGUUUUAAAUGUCAACAGGAUUUACAUAUGGUGACACUGUACUUUAGAGAGAUCAGAAAGCCAGGAAACAGAGCUCAGUGAAAGAAACUUACAACAUAAAUUGAUGGCAAAUAAGAAAUUCCAGAAAUUGGGGUCAGGCAGAGGUUACUUUCCCAAAGUAUAAGUGAAGUUAACAUAACAUGCACAUUCUUUGAAACCUGCAGAAAUAGCCUAUUUUCGGAGAUAUUCUGAAAGCAUACUGCUCCAUGAAGUUACCAAAAGUAAUUAUAUGAGAGGAUUAGGCUGUUCAGACUUUAAUACAAGAAGCACAACCAAGAGAUGACAGAAGAGUAAUUUCUUGUGAUAGAAGCAACCUAAACAUUAUUUCAGGGCUGGUAUAAACAAGGACUGUGAGCAUUCUUAGCACAUGGCCUUGUGAUAAUACUACUGCAUCCAUACCCCACCCCACCAGCAGAGAUGGUUACGCACCUGCCGAGUCAUUUUCAAGCCCCCCUUCCCCGAUUUUAU
ensembl:antisense Gm16110 predicted gene 16110